GUUUCUACACAUCAGACUAAUUGUUCUGACGUAUAGACGCCUCCAAAGUGGCGUCGUGCCAUCCAAUGGAAAAACAAGCUGUCUUUCUGACCUACCCAGGACUCAGGAAGCUGAAUUCACAGGGUAACAGUAGUCCCAGUGUGGUGGAUGCGGGGCUGGAAACCCACCAUGAAGAAGGUCCAUGCCGGAAUCAGCAAGGCCACAGCAGCAGCACUGGUGUAGAACUGCAGUUCCGGGGCCCUGCAGCGACAGAAGAUACUUGCUCUUUCCCAUGCUUGAGUCUGGGCUUCUACACAGAUCCUUUCAGAGAAAAACCUAAAGAAUCAACAAUCUAGAACUAUGUCUCCCACAAUGGCAGUGAUGCCCUUGGCUCCCUAGAAUGAAAGGGUCACCAUGAACCGAA
ensembl:processed_transcript